AUGGAGUGGAACUAUCAGUAUGGGAGCAAACUAAAAUAUUCCAACGGGAUUGGACGGAGCACACCUAACCCUAUAUGGUGUCAGAUAUGGAAGUUAUCUUGUCCGGCUAAAGUCAAAAAUUUUUUAUGGCGGACACUACAUGGCACUCUUCCAUGUCGGGCAACACUCACUAAUAGACACAUGAAGGUCUCGCCCUCUUGCCCUACAUGCUCUCAGGGUGUAGAAGAUACGAAGCACUUUCUUUUCCUAUGUAGAAAAGCCAAGAAGGUUUGGAAAAGGCUAGGGUUGGAUAUGAUUAUUGAGAGAGCUUGUGAGAUUGAUCGUGCUGGAGAGGCAACAUUGGAGUACCUAUUACUCCUUCCAGAUCAAGAUCUGCGCAUUAUGGGGUACGAAAAUGUUCGAGAAAUGAUAGCAAUCUCAGCUUGGUAUCUAUGGUGGAAAGACGGAAAUUAG
rnacentral:rRNA from 1 species